ACGCACGCUGGCGGCGUGCUUAACCCAUGCCAGUCGCACGGAAAGGCCCUGCUUUUGUGGGGUGCUCGAGUGGCGAACGGGUGAGUAACACGUGAGUAACCUGCCCUUGACUUUGGGAUAACUUCAGGAAACUGGGGCUAAUACCGGAGAGGAGCUCCUGCUGCAUGGUGGGGGUUGGAAAGUUUCGGCGGUUGGGGAUGGACUCGCGGCUUAUCAGCUUGUUGGUGGGGUAGUGGCUUACCAAGGCUUUGACGGGUAGCCGGCCUGAGAGGGUGACCGGCCACAUUGGGACUGAGAUACGGCCCAGACUCCUACGGGAGGCAGCAGUGGGGAAUAUUGCACAAUGGGCGGAAGCCUGAUGCAGCAACGCCGCGUGCGGGAUGACGGCCUUCGGGCUGUAAACCGCUUUCGCCUGUGACGAAGCGUGAGUGACGGUAAUGGGUAAAGAAGCACCGGCUAACUACGUG
rnacentral:rRNA from 1 species